rnacentral:rRNA from 1 species
GCGAGUGAAGCGGCAACAGCUCAAAUUUGAAAGCUGGCUCCGGCCCGCAUUGUAAUUUGCAGAGGAUGCUUUUGGCGAGGUGCCUUCCGAGUUCCCUGGAACGGGACGCCAUAGAGGGUGAGAGCCCCGUAUGGAUGGACACCAGACCUGUGUAAAGCUCCUUCAACGAGUCGAGUAGUUUGGGAAUGCUGCUCUAAAUGGGAGGUAAAUCUCUUCUAAAGCUAAAUACCGGCCAGAGACCGAUAGCGCACAAGUAGAGUGAUCGAAAGAUGAAAAGCACCUUGAAAAGGGGGUUAAAUAGUACGUGAAAUUGUUGAAAGGGAAGCAUUUAUGACCAGACUUGCGCCGGGCAGCUCAUCAGGGGUUCUCCCCUGUGCACUCUGCCCGGCUCAGGCCAGCAUCGGUUCUCGUGGGAGGAUAAGAACAGUGGGAACGUGGCCCCCCUCCGGGGGGGUGUUAUAGCCCAUUGUACGAUACUCUCGUGGGGACCGAGGUUCGCGCUCCGCAAGGAUGCUGGC